GAAAAUUAGAAUAUUCUUAUUCCCGAAACAAAAAGAUCUAAGUAAGUAUAUAAGUUAUAGUUAAAACUUUUCUCUGUAGCAUUAGAGUAACUCAAUAUUUACUUAGGGGUGAUAUGCUUUCAAUUUUUGUGAUACCUGGAUAAAAAUUAAAUAUAUUUAGUUUUAAUAUAAUUACAAAGUGAUAAGAUUUUGUAAAAAUAAUUAAAUGAGUACCUGAAGUAUUUUCCUUAUAUAAUACAUAAUGUAAGUAAAACAUUGAAGAAUAUACUUUCUUCCUUAAUAUUAUAUAGUAAUUUUUUUUCCUAAUUAAUUAUAGUAAAGAUAAAUAAUGUAUAAAUGAGUAUUAAUAUAAAAUUAUUUUAAGGAACUCGGCAAAAAUAUUUACGACUGUUUAACAAAAACAUAGCUAGUAGAGUUUUAUUACUAGUGAUACCUGCCCAGCGAAAUUUUUAAGCGGCCGCAGUACUCUGACUGUGCAAAGGUAGCAUAAUCAUUUGGCUUUUAAUUGGAGUCUUGUAUGAAUGGAUGAACGUAUAUAAGCUGUCUUAAAUUAACUUUGUAAAAAUUAGUUAAGAAGGUGAAAAUACCUUCAAUAAACAAAAAAGACGAGAAGACCCUUAGAAUUUUAAGAAAAAGUAAUUACAAGUUAUUUUGUUUUUUGUUGGGGCAACAAUUUUUCAUAGUAAAUAAAAAAUUUUGUUAAAGGAACAUAACGAAUAUAAUUAAAUAAGAAUAAAUUACCUAAGGGAUAACAGCAUAAUUAUAUUAUUAGAUUGUGACCUCGAUGUUGGAUUAGGGGUUACUAAGGCUAGCGGUUUUAGUAAAAUUAGUUCUGUUCGAACAUUACCCCCUA
rnacentral:rRNA from 1 species